rnacentral:rRNA from 1 species
AUUGAACGCUGGCGGCAGGCUUAACACAUGCAAGUCGAGCGGGGGAAGGUAGCUUGCUACCGGACCUAGCGGCGGACGGGUGAGUAAUGCUUAGGAAUCUGCCUAUUAGUGGGGGACAACAUCUCGAAAGGGAUGCUAAUACCGCAUACGUCCUACGGGAGAAAGCAGGGGAUCUUCGGACCUUGCGCUAACAGAUGAGCCUAAGUCGGAUUAGCUAGUUGGUGGGGUAAAGGCCUACCAAGGCGACGAUCUGUAGCGGGUCUGAGAGGAUGAUCCGCCACACUGGGACUGGGACACGGCCCAGACUCCUACGGGAGGCAGCAGUGGGGAAUAUUGGAAAAUGGGGGGAACCCUGAUCCAGCCAUGCCGCGUGUGUGAAGAAGGCCUUAUGGUUGUAAAGCACUUUAAGCGAGGAGGAGGCUACUCUAGUUAAUACCUAGGGAUAGUGGACGUUACUCGCAGAAUAAGCACCGGCUAACUCUGUGCCAGCCGCCGCGGUAA